rnacentral:rRNA from 1 species
CAAUAGCGUAUAUUAAAGUUGUUGCAGUUAAAAAGCUCGUAGUUGGAUUUCUGAUCGAGACAUCAGGUCGGGUCCGAGAGGAUCAUGUACUUUGAUUUUGUUUUGAUCAUCCUUGGGGAGAGCAUUUCUGGCAUUCAGUUGUCGGGAUUGGGAUCCUCAUCGUUUACUGUGAAAAAAUUAGAGUGUUCAAAGCAGGCCUCGGCCUCUGAAUACAUUAGCAUGGAAUAAUAAGAUAGGACUUUGGUGGUCUAUUUUGUUGGUUUGCACGCCAAAGUAAUGAUUAAUAGGGAUAGUUGGGGGUAUUCGUAUUCAAUUGUCAGAGGCGAAAUUCUUGGAUUUAUGGAAGACGAACUACUGCGAAAGCAUUUACCAAGGAUGUUUUCAUUAA